CCGAUCUUAGCUCAGUUGGAAGAGCGUGGGACUGUAAAUCCCGAGGCCGUGCGUUCGAUCCGCACAGAUCGGA
rnacentral:tRNA from 1 species